GCGGCGUUAGCUCAGUGGUAGAGCGGCUGCUUUACACGCAGUUGGUCGGGAGUUCGAAUCUCUCACGCCGCA
rnacentral:tRNA from 1 species